rnacentral:snRNA from 1 species
UCGCCGCCGGUCCAUUCUCCGGUGGA